AGGGCGGUAGCUCAAUUGGCAGAGCAGCGGUCUCCAAACCGCAGGUUGCAGGUUCGAUUCCUGUCCGCCCUG
rnacentral:tRNA from 1 species